rnacentral:lncRNA from 1 species
GAAAGAUGCAAUUUAAAUGCCACAGAGAGCUGUGCUGUGCCUUUGAUUUUUCCAUCCUGAGCUGGAGAGAGACCUGGGCCCCUCCCUUGACCCUCAGCCUGGUACUGUCCUGUUACCUUGAUGGGACGUUUCAAGGCCUCCUGGAUAUCUAGCCGCUUCCUCAUAAUAGUCUGGUCCAGUUUCCUUUCAAAAGCCAGGAGAUCCAUGUAGGCCUGUGAUUCUGGGACCAGUUCCCGAAUCUUAGGAACAGAAAGACAGAGAUGGGAUGGGGCAGCCCUCGUUCUGACCACUUCUAUUCUCAAAGCCACUACCCCUUCAAGGAGACCUCUGCAGCUGCACUCACCCUUUGAGCCAAGGCCUACGAAAUGACUCUCCAUUUAAAGACGCUACCUCUCCCAUGACCACCAAAACUCCACUGCAUCAUGAGGCCCUGUUAGUCCCUGCAGCACCGUUUGGUGCCACAGCGCUGACUUCCUGGUUCUGCAUGCCCACCACCAGCAUCCUCACAGGCCUCCUCUCCCCCAUACCCUUCUUUCCUUCACCCCCAGGGGUCAUCUUACUUGUGAUUUCGAUUUUGGACCGCCUGCUGCUGGACCUGCUGGAUCUGUUGAGCUAUAACAGCCUGGGUAUUCCUGGGGACACGGGGGCUGCCCACUCCCCUCUGCAUUCCAUGACCAUCCCAGGGCCCACUUCGCCCACCCUGGUUCCACACUCACUCCUCACAUGGAAACAAUGCCGC